rnacentral:rRNA from 1 species
CCUACGUGAGGCUGCAGUCGAGAAUCAUUCACAAUGGGGGAAACCCUGAUGGUGCGACGCCGCGUGGGGGAAUGAAGGUCUUCGGAUUGUAAACCCCUGUCAUGUGGGAGCAAAUUAAAAAGAUAGUACCACAAGAGGAAGAGACGGCUAACUCUGUGCCAGCAGCCGCGGUAAUACAGAGGUCUCAAGCGUUGUUCGGAAGCACUGGGCGUAAAGCGUGCGUAGGCUGUUUCGUAAGUCGUGUGUGAAAGGCGCGGGCUCAACCCGCGGACGGCACAUGAGACUGCGAGACUAGAGUAAGGGAGAGGGAAGCGGAAUUCGCGGUGUAGCAGUGAAAUGCGUAGAUAUCGGGAGGAACACUCGUGGCGAAGGCGGGUUCCUGGACAUUAACUGACGCUGAGGCACGAAGGCCAGGGGAGCGAAAGGGAUUAGAUACCCCAGUAGUC